rnacentral:misc_RNA from 1 species
AUUAAAUUGUAUGGACACUUCGAAGCAAAUAUUACUAAAGUUAAAGAACAGAGAGGAGAGGAUAUGCCUCCCAUACUCCUUUAAUUACAAUUUUUGAUUUAUUGGGUAAAGUAUCAUUAGGUAAUUAGGAAAAAGAUUUCUAUUACAAGAGAUCCAUGGUGAUAGUCAAAGACCUAUUAGAAGCACUAGAAUCAAGGAUCCAUGGUCCAAUGGAUGAGGAUCAUUUUAGACAUUUAAAGAUAUUACCAAAUUAGGAAAAUGAGAAUAACUGCUAGUUGGGAAACUGAUACUCCAAGUAUUAUUCAUAUUUUACUCUAGUCAAGGUGAUAGAAUUUUUUAAUCAAUG